rnacentral:rRNA from 1 species
UACGUAGGGGGCUAGCGUUGUCCGGAUUUAUUGGGCGUAAAGAGCUUGUAGGCGGUUUGUCGCGUCUGCUGUGAAAUUUCGGGGCUCAACCCCCGAACUUGCAGUGGGUACGGGCAGACUAGAGUGUGGUAGGGGAGACUGGAAUUCCUGGUGUAGCGGUGAAAUGCGCAGAUAUCAGGAGGAACACCGAUGGCGAAGGCAGGUCUCUGGGCCAUAACUGACGCUGAGAAGCGAAAGCAUGGGGAGCGAACAGG